rnacentral:rRNA from 1 species
AAUCAACGCUGGCGGCGUGCCUCAGACAUGCAAGUCGAACGAUUAAAGCUCUCUUCGGAGAGUGUAUAGAGUGGCGCACGGGUGAGUAACACGUAAGUAAUCUACCUUUGAGUGGGGAAUAACCCGGGGAAACCCGAGCUAAUACCGCAUAAUGCAGCGGCACCGCAAGGUGACAGUUGUUAAAGGAGCAAUCCGCUUAAAGAGGAGCUUGCGGCAGAUUAGCUAGNGGUAAGGUAAUGGCUUACCAAGGCUUCGAUCUGUAUCCGGCCUGAGAGGGCGGUCGGACACACUGACACUGAAUAACGGGUCAGACUCCUACGGGAGGCAGCAGUCGGGAAUUUGGGCAAUGGGCGGAAAGCCUGACCCAGCAACGCCGCGUGAAGGAUGAAGUAUUUCGGUANGUAAACUUACGAAAGAAUGGGAAGAAUCAAUGACGGUACCAUUUAUAAGGUCCGG